GCAAGUCGAGCGGUAGAAGGAAGCUUGCUUCCUUUGAGAGCGGCGGACGGGUGAGUAAUGCCUAGGAAUCUGCCUGGUAGUGGGGGAUAACGUUCGGAAACGGACGCUAAUACCGCAUACGUCCUACGGGAGAAAGCAGGGGACCUUCGGGCCUUGCGCUAUCAGAUGAGCCUAGGUCGGAUUAGCUUGUUGGUGAGGUAAUGGCUCACCAAGGCGACGAUCCGUAACUGGUCUGAGAGGAUGAUCAGUCACACUGGAACUGAGACACGGUCCAGACUCCUACGGGAGGCAGCAGUGGGGAAUAUUGGACAAUGGGCGAAAGCCUGAUCCAGCCAUGCCGCGUGUGUGAAGAAGGUCUUAGGAUUGUAAAGCACUUUAAGUUGGGAGGAAGGGUUGUAGUUUAAUACGCUGCAAUCUUGACGUUACCGACAGAAUAAGCACCGGCUAACUCUGUGCCAGCAGCCGCGGUAAUACAGAGGGUGCAAGCGUUAAUCGGAAUUACUGGGCGUAAAGCGCGCGUAGGUGGCAAAGUAAGAUGGGUGUGAAAUCCCCGGGCUCAACCUGGGAACUGCAUCCAUAACUGCUUCGCUAGAGUACGGUAGAGGGUAGUGGAAUUUCCUGUGUAGCGGUGAAAUGCGUAGAUAUAGGAAGGAACACCAGUGGCGAAGGCGACUACCUGGACUGAUACUGACACUGAGGUGCGAAAGCGUGGGGAGCAAACAGGAUUAGAUACCCUGGUAGUCCACGCCGUAAACGAUGUCGGACUAGCCGUUGGAAUCCUUGAGAUUUUAGUGGCGCAGCUAACGCAUUAAGUGACC
rnacentral:rRNA from 1 species